UACGUAGGGGGCAAGCGUUGUCCGGAAUUAUUGGGCGUAAAGAGCUCGUAGGCGGUCUGUUACGUCUGCUGUGAAAACCCAGGGCUUAACCCUGGGCUUGCAGUGGAUACGGGCAGACUAGAGGCAGGUAGGGGAGAAUGGAAUUCCCGGUGUAGCGGUGAAAUGCGCAGAUAUCUGGAGGAACACCGGUGGCGAAGGCGGUUCUCUGGGCAUGUUCUGACGCUGAGGAGCGAAAGUGUGGGGAGCGAACAGG
rnacentral:rRNA from 1 species